GGAGAAGUGGCAGAGAGGUCGAAUGCACACCCCUGCUAAGGGUGCAGGUCCAAAUUACGGGCCUCGGGGGUUCGAAUCCCCCCUUCUCCGCCA
rnacentral:tRNA from 1 species